CUGACACCUAAUUUAUUUGUAUGUUUAAAUUGGGUACUUUUUGGACCUUUGUACAUGUAUGAGCACAUGGUCGAAAAUUGAUACGGAGAUUAUUGAUAUCUAGAUGGCUAACAGAGGACCAACAGAUGACAUUGAACCUGCUCCACCAUACGAGCCACCUAAUAGAUUUUUAAACAUUUACCAUGGACAGGGAACAAGUGAUAUCGGAAGAGGGUCACAUCCAGCCCCUAAUAAUUUUAUGUUCAACAGAGCUACAUAUCCAGAGCUUCCAGGAUUUUAUGAUGAAUACGGACACGAUCAAUUCAAGAUGAUGGAAUUAAAUUCGAAGCAUAAAGCCAAGAUGAGGCGUCAGCUCCAUCAACAGAAUACAACGGAACUGGCGACGGUACGAACAAGAAGUUCCGGCAGUAAACUUGGACUAAUUUUCUUCUUUGUGUUAUCGCUUGUGAUUGUUGGAGGUUUUGUAGCUCUUGUCUUUUAUGUUGUGUCUUCCCGUAGUUGAUUUUGAAGGACAAAACAAAAACGGAAUCGAACCUGUAUUGUAUUUUUUUUCUUUUUCAUUUUUACAUGUAUUUUUACAUAUUUGUUUUCUCUAAAGAGAUUAAUAUUUUACUUAACGUCAAUUAGACAGCAAUCCAAUAUCAAAAUAUAGCAACAAAUAGACAUUUACUGUAGUGUGUCUGAUGAUUUUAUGCAACGGUUUAUAGCUGUUCUGUUUUAUGUGUCGUCUCUUAUAUGAAUAAAAAAGAGCGGGAAAAGUAUUGAUUUAAGGUGUAGUGCAUUUACUCUUAUAAAUGUAUGUUGUAUUUCAUUUUUACUGGCAUUAUUGUGUGAUAUAUGUUUCCUUUAUCAAUUAAAGCACAGAAAAAAGAACAAAUUCAUGUAUGCAUUUUUUUUAUUUAUGGAGUUGUUUGACUUGUUUACUUGUUUUCCCAAGAAUAAAUCACUUUCCCUUUGUUUA